ACAUUCCCAGUGCUGAAAGAAUACAAGCCUUGAAGGUGCAUUAGCAGAAGAGUACUCUGAGAAAUCACAACCUCCCUGUGCAUCCAGCUGCUGGAUUUAGAGCCCAUCAGUGAGUCAAUGCUGGAUGGAUGGAGGAGCUCGCUCUUGUGACCAGAUGGAGGAAAGCUGGAACUGGGAUGUGUAAUCUGAGAGCUCUUUUCCGUGAAGAGACAGGAAGCAUUAACUGGAGGGAAGUGUUCAGAAAAGAGUUUAAGAUGUGAGAGACUGGAAGGGACCU
rnacentral:lncRNA from 14 species